ACAUGCAAGUCGAACGGUAAGGCCCUUUCGGGGGUACACGAGUGGCGAACGGGUGAGUAACACGUGGGUAAUCUGCCCUGCACUUCGGGAUAAGCCUGGGAAACUGGGUCUAAUACCGGAUAUGACUUCUGGCCGCAUGGUCUGGGAGUGGAAAGUUUUUCGGUGCAGGAUGAGUCCGCGGCCUAUCAGCUUGUUGGUGGGGUAAUGGCCUACCAAGGCGACGACGGGUAGCCGGCCUGAGAGGGUGAUCGGCCACACUGGGACUGAGACACGGCCCAGACUCCUACGGGAGGCAGCAGUGGGGAAUAUUGCACAAUGGGCGGAAGCCUGAUGCAGCGACGCCGCGUGGGGGAUGACGGUCUUCGGAUUGUAAACCCCUUUCAGUAGGGACGAAGCGCAAGUGACGGUACCUGCAGAAGAAGCACCGGCUAACUACGUGCCAGCAGCCGCGGUAAUACGUAGGGUGCGAGCGUUGUCCGGAAUUACUGGGCGUAAAGAGCUCGUAGGCGGUUUGUCACGUCGUCUGUGAAAUCCCUCGGCUUAACCGGGGGCGUGCAGGCGAUACGGGCAGACUUGAGUACUACAGGGGAGACUGGAAUUCCUGGUGUAGCGGUGAAAUGCGCAGAUAUCAGGAGGAACACCGGUGGCGAAGGCGGGUCUCUGGGUAGUAACUGACGCUGAGGAGCGAAAGCAUGGGUAGCGAACAGG
rnacentral:rRNA from 1 species